GUAGAUCAUAAGUACAUAUACUAAAAUUGGAAUGAUGCAGAGAAGGUUAGUGUGGCUCCUGUGCAAAAUUAUGAAGUGUUCCAUAUUUUU
rnacentral:snRNA from 1 species